ACAAUAAGCAAACUUGAUUCCUGUAUAGUUUAUUUUGCAAUUAUAUGAUGAAUAGAUCGGGACCCUGAAGCAUUUCACACUGGGUAUGGUAAGAGAGGAGCUGGGCUGUACCAACAGGAAAGGGCAUAGAGUGUGGAAAGGGAGAAAGGGUCUGCUCCUGGGGGAGUAUAUUUCCAUCCUGCAAUGUAAACAAUACCCAGAAGAUUUUAGGCUCUGAUUAUGUUUUAUUAACAUACAAUAUCAGAUUUCCCAUUUUGUUUUACGUUUGAGUAAAAUCUUGAGAAAUCUUGAAAGUAUGAAAUUAUUUGCUUUUGAAUCAUCUGAGCAUAAGAUCUAGUAAAAAUAUUAUAUAGCUAAUAACUGUAUAAAAUAAAAUAUUAUAUAGCUAAGACCUCAAGCUGUAACUGAAUCCAAUGCAAUUUUUUUUUUUCCCCAGCAGGCUGUAAUGCCAUCCCGGAUAAGCCCCCUUAGGGAUGCCAUUCAUCACAUUGUUUUAAAGACUGCCAAAUGUGGAAAUUGGAGGUGAAGUACAUCAAUGCAAAACAAGACAGUGAGCAUUGCAGCUAAUGCCAUGGCAGAGGAUGACUCCCAGCCUUCCGUCCUAUCAAAGACUCAAAUAGGUGACUCUACUGUUCCAAACAACACUCCUCAACAGACAGUCAGCAUUGCAGCUAAUGCCAUGGCAGAGGAUGACUCCCAGCCUUCCCUUUUGUCAAAGACUCAGAUAGAUAACGCUACUGGUCCAAACAACACUCCUCAACAGAACCAUCAAUAGUUGAGACACUUCCUCCUACUGAAAGGAAUGAGAUGCUUCCACCACCAUCCAAGAGAUACAAACCAUCACUAUUAGAUCAUGUGACACCUUCAGGGGUCAGUGCUGUGAGGCCCUUCUCAAAAGGUAAAGUGUUCCAGAGGAAGAAAACAUCCUGGCAGCAGACAGAGGUACAGGCGGUGGAAAGGCACAUCGAUUCAUCAUAUCUGGUAUUGUACCAGCAAAGAAUGAUUGUAAGAAAUGCUUAAGGGCUAAACCAGAAGCUCCAGAACCAGGACUGACAGAAUCUGUAAUUCUACGUUUAUAACCACAUUACGGCCUAAAAAAGGGGAACUGCAAUGUAAAUACUGUAGAGUGAAGUUAAUCAAUUCUGUAGUAUGGCAGGUUCUGUGGUUAAAGUUUUAAGUUUGUACUAAUUUUAUUAUAUUUGAGUUCUUUUGUGCAGUUGAACUCAAUUAAAAGCUUUUGCAAUUAAAAUGCAAGUUUAUUGUCUUGAAAUUCAAGCAAUAGUUGUUUUAUUAUAUUGCUAAUGUGGUGGAAUUCCCUUUACCACCAAAGGUCAAGUCUUCUAUACACCCAACAAUUACUUAAUAAAUAAAUUUUGUGUU